rnacentral:rRNA from 1 species
CAGAAACUCAAAGGAAUUGACGGGGCCCGCACAAGCGGUGGAGUAUGUGGUUUAAUUCGAUGCAACGCGAAGAACCUUACCUGGUCUUGACAUCCCGGAGACCCUUAGGAAACUAGGGGGUGCUUCCAUCUGGAAGAAUCUGGAGACAGGUGCUGCAUGGCUGUCGUCAGCUCGUGUCGUGAGAUGUUGGGUUAAGUCCCGCAACGAGCGCAACCCUUGCCUUAGUUGCCAGCAGUUCGGCUGGGCACUCUAAAGGGACUGCCGGUGUUAAACCGGAGGAAGGUGGGGAUGACGUCAAGUCCUCGUGGCCUUUAUGACCAGGGCUACACACGUACUACAAUGGCCGAUACAAAGGGCAGCGACACUGCGAGGUGAAGCCAAUCCCGUAAAAUCGGUCUCAGUCCGGAUUGGAGUCUGCAACUCGACUCCAUGAAGUUGGAAUCGCUAGUAAUCGUGGAUCAGCAUGCCACGGUGAAUACGUUCCCGGGCCUU